UAGGGAAUCUUCCGCAAUGGGCGAAAGCUUGACGGAGCAACGCCGCGUGAGUGAUGAAGGUCUUCGGAUCGUAAAACUCUGUUAUUAGGGAAGAACAAAUGUGUAAGUAACUAUGCACGUCUUGACGGUACCUAAUCAGAACGCCACGGCUAACUACGUGCCAGCAGCCGCGGUAAUACGUAGGUGGCAAGCGUUAUCCGGAAUUAUUGGGCGUAAAGCGCGCGUAGGCGGUUUUUUAAGUCUGAUGUGAAAGCCCACGGCUCAACCGUGGAGGGUCAUUGGAAACUGGAAAACUUGAGUGCAGAAGAGGAAAGUGGAAUUCCAUGUGUAGCGGUGAAAUGCGCAGAGAUAUGGAGGAACACCAGUGGCGAAGGCGACUUUCUGGUCUGUAACUGACGCUGAUGUGCGAAAGCGUGGGGAUCAAACAGG
rnacentral:rRNA from 1 species